rnacentral:rRNA from 1 species
UACGGAGGAUGCAAGCGUUAUCCGGAUUCACUGGGUUUAAAGGGUGCGUAGGUGGGCAGGUAAGUCAGUGGUGAAAUCUCCGAGCUUAACUCGGAAACUGCCAUUGAUACUAUCUGUCUUGAAUUAUCUGGAGGUGAGCGGAAUAUGUCAUGUAGCGGUGAAAUGCUUAGAUAUGACAUAGAACACCAAUUGCGAAGGCAGCUCACUACGGAUAUAUUGACACUGAGGCACGGAAAAGCGUGGGGAUCAAACAGG